UACGAAGGGUGCGAGCGUUAUCCGGAAUCACUGGGCGUAAAGGGCACGUAGGCGGUUUGAUAAGUCUGAUGUCAAAGAUUAGGGCUCAACCCUAGUAUGGCGUUGGAUACUGUCAAGCUAGACAUCUGGAGAGGUAAGUAGAAUUACCAGUGUAGCGGUGGAAUGCGUAGAUACUGGUAGGAAUACCAAUAGCGAAGGCAGCUUACUGGACAGUUUGUGACGCUGAGGUGCGAAAGCGUGGGGAGCAAACCGG
rnacentral:rRNA from 1 species